rnacentral:tRNA from 1 species
AUAGCUUAGUGGCAGAGUGGUUACCUGACAUGUAUGAGGACUUGGGUUCAAGUCCCAGU